rfam:Rattus norvegicus chromosome 8, whole genome shotgun sequence.
GGAGAUUUAGCUCAGUGGUAGAGCGCUUGCCUAGGAAGCGCAAGGCCCUGGGUUCAGUCCCCAGCUCCG